rnacentral:rRNA from 1 species
UACGUAGGGUGCGAGCGUUAAUCGGAAUUACUGGGCGUAAAGCGUGCGCAGGCGGUCUGUUAAGACCGAUGUGAAAUCCCCGGGCUUAACCUGGGAACUGCAUUUGUGACUGCAUGGCUAGAGUGCGGCAGAGGAGACUGGAAUUCCUGGUGUAGCAGUGAAAUGCGUAGAUAUCAGGAGGAACACCGAUGGCGAAGGCAGGUCUCUGGGCUGACACUGACGCUCAUGCACGAAAGCGUGGGGAGCAAACAGG